AACUAUUUGAUAACAUUUAAAGCACUUAAAGCUUUAACUAUCUAUCAUCAAGCAUUAAUAAUGAAGUUUUAGUCAUCAAACAUCAAUAAUCAGACAUAAUUUAUAAAACAUCAAAAGCAUUCAUCAAGUAUUAACCAUCGAACAUCAAAAAUCAAUCAUCAAGCAUCAAUAAUCAAUCAUCAAUCAUCAACCAUGAAGUACCAAGCACCAAUUGCACAGCAACAUAAACUUUUGUUUUGAAAAUUAACUAUUUGAUAACAUUUAAAGCAUUUAAAGCAUUAAUAUCUAUCAUCAAGCAUUAAUAAUGAAGUUUUAGUCAUCAAACAUCAAUAAUCAGACAUAAUUUAUAAAACAUCAAAAGCAUUCAUCAAGUAUUACCCAUCGAACAUCAAAAUUCAAUCAUCAAGCAUCAAUAAUUAAUCAUCAAUCACCAGCUAUGAAGUACUAAGCACUAAUUGCACAGUAACAUAAUCUUUUGUUUUGAAAAUUAACUAUUUGAUAACAUUUAAAGCAUUUAAAGCAUUAAUAUCUAUCAUCAAGCAUUAAUAAUGAAGUUUUAGUCAUCAAACAUCAAUAAUCAGACAUAAUUUAUAAAACAUCAAAAGCAUUCAUCAAGUAUUACCCAUCGAACAUCAAAAUUCAAUCAUCAAGCAUCAAUAAUUAAUCAUCAAUCACCAGCUAUGAAGUACUAAGCACUAAUUGCACAGUAACAUAAUCUUUUGUUUUGAAAAUUAACUAUUUGAUAACAUUUAAA